GCCCACCCGCAGCCAUCAGCCGCGGGGAGGCCGCCGGAUGGCCGCGUCUUCCACCCCAGCUAACCCGCGAUCUCCCCUAACUCUUCUUUCCCGCGCAGGGUGGAGCUAUGCAGUUUCAGCGGGUACAAGAUCUACCCCGGCCAUGGGCGCCGCUAUGCCCGCACCGACGGCAAGGUUUUUCAGUUCUUGAAUGCAAAAUGUGAGUCUGCAUUCCUUUCCAAGAGAAACCCUCGCCAAAUCAACUGGACUGUUCUGUACAGGCGGAAACACAAGAAAGGACAGUCAGAAGAGAUACAAAAGAAGCGCACGCGUCGUGCUGUAAAGUUUCAGAGAGCCAUCACUGGUGCGUCUUUAGCUGAGAUUAUGGCUAAGCGAAAUCAGAAGCCUGAAGUACGAAAGGCGCAGAGGGAACAAGCUAUUAGGGCUGCGAAAGAAGCCAAGAAGGCGAAGCAGGCAACCAAGAAAACGGCUGUUUCUGCUGCAAAGGCUCCUACAAAGGCGGCACCUAAGCAGAAGAUUGUGAAACCAGUCAAGGUUUCUGCUCCGCGUGUUGGUGGAAAGCGCUAAUUUGCCAAACUGUUAGUCGUGCUGAAUAAACAUCUGACU